rnacentral:rRNA from 1 species
CAAGUCGAGCGCCCGCAGGGAGGCGGCGGACGGGUUAGUAACGCGUGGGAAUGUACCCUUUUCUACGGAAUAGCCUCGGGAAACUGAGAUUAAUACCGUAUACGCCCUUCGGGGGAAAGAUUUAUCGGAGAAGGAUCAGCCCGCGUAAGAUUAGAUAGUUGGUGGGGUAAUGGCCUACCAAGUCUACGAUCUUUAGCUGGUUUGAGAGGAUGAUCAGCAACACUGGGACUGAGACACGGCCCAG